UACAGAGGGGGCAAGCGUUAUUCGGAAUUACUGGGCGUAAAGCGCACGUAGGCGGAUUUGUAAGCCAGAUGUGAAAUCCCCGGGCUCAACCUGGGAAUGGCAUUUGGGACUGCAAGGCUGGAGUGCGGCAGAGGAGACUGGAAUUCCUGGUGUAGCAGUGAAAUGCGUAGAUAUCAGGAGGAAUACCGAUGGCGAAGGCAGGUCUCUGGGCUGACACUGACGCUCAUGCACGAAAGCGUGGGGAGCAAACAGG
rnacentral:rRNA from 1 species